UACGAAUGGGGCAAGCGUUGUUCGGAAUCACUGGGCUUAAAGCGUGCGCAGGCGGUCAUGAAAGUCAGAAGUGAAAUCCCAGGGCUCAACCCUGGAAUUGCUUUUGAAACUCCAUGACUAGAGUGUGGUAGAGGGAGAUGGAAUUCCGCAUGUAGCAGUGAAAUGCGUAGAUAUGCGGAGGAACACCAAUGGCGAAGGCAAUCUCCUGGACCUGCACUGACGCUCAUGCACGAAAGCGUGGGGAGCAAACAGG
rnacentral:rRNA from 1 species